AUCUCUUUGCCUCUGCAAAUAACUCCCAGUGACCCGAGCAUUGAGUCUGGGAGUAUCAAAAAGCCACUCUGUAAAGAACGCUAACUUUCUGUCCUAAAUUGCCUUGCACUACUGUGUACAACUAGGGAAUAGUCAAAACAGAUUUCUUUGCCAUGGUGCAGGAGGAACUGAUCUCUGUGUGGCAGCUCCAGUUGAUAAUAUAGGUGUUUGGUGGAGUUGGAGGUGCCCUAUCGGAUGUGCUUGAGCUCCCAGCCUUGGUACAAAGAAGAUCAAAGAAGGACAGUGAGAAUCGCAGCAUAGUGGUAAAAACUGAGCAAACUCUUGAUAAAAACAUGUGAAACCAGCAGGCUGGUGGUCUCCUAGCAUGGACCCUGUUUAGCAGUUCCUGUGUUCCCUCUUGUGUGCCUGUGCUCGUGUAUCUCUGCUUGGUGCUGCUUCGAGGAUCCCCUGGUUGGCGAGGUAAUGAGAAUAAAUCUACUUUUUGCAUUUUAGCUGCAAGUCUGUGGUUGUUCCUGUUGCCUGCCUGUGCUGACUCUCACACUUAGUAAUCCUAAAGCACUACUGAGAUGGAUGCUUCUGAGAUGUGGAAGGAGGAACCAUUCUGAAGGGCUGAUGCUUCUUCAACUAGCACAGAAGCUGAGCCCCAUGAACAGUGCAGCUGAUAUCUGGAGGAAACUGGAGGUGUAGAAGACAUAGUGGAAAUCAUUAGUUAUGUCCACCAGGAGACCUGAAAUGGAAACCACAGCUUA